GGUUGUAGUUUCUGAUUUAUACAUAUGUAUAUACAGUUUCAGUCUACUGUAAAGGGAAGAGAAAGAAAGAAAACAGAGGAGAUUAUGAUAUGGAUGGAUGAUGGAAGGAAAGAUCUAUGAAUUUAAUAUCUGAGUUUCAGUUACUGGACUUUACUUCUUCCAGAAAGUCAGGCCAAAAGGUCCAGUUCGAUGGUGGCCGUGAAGGGAUCUGAUGCUCAGUAACGUGAGGUGCACCUGCAGCAAGAGGUGGUGGAGAGGGUAUCUGAGUAGACUGAGAAAUUGUAAACCUCACAAUCAAGAGAGCUGCGUGAUCCGAACGAGUAGGCAAACCAGGCUCGGGGAACUGGCACAGUCCCCACGGAUCCACAUGGAAGCUGAGUCUUGCCAGUCUGCAUGGACAUUCCCCUCUCUAAAAGCCAUAAGACGUUCUACUUGGCAGCACUACAUAGUAGAAAAAUGUGGAUAUAGAAGUUGGGAAACCUGGAAUGUGGUUCUCACUAGCUUGGUGACCUUGGGUAAACUAUUUAGGUUUUCUGAGCCAAGCUUUUUCUAUCAUAAAAUGGGAGUAAUAAUACCUCCCUCCCCUAAGUACAAUGUUGUUUUGAGAAUUAAGUGUAUUUGUGAGAGUGCUUAGGAAACUGUGAAGACCUCUGGAUAUCUUACUCACUAUUUUUUAGUUUGUCAAAUCAAACUCUUACUCUAGAAUGGAUAAGUCUAUUCACAGUGAAUGUUCACUUA
rnacentral:lncRNA from 1 species